rnacentral:rRNA from 1 species
GGGGGCACCCUGACGAGCAUGCCGCGUGGAUGAAGAAGGCCUUCGGGUUGUAAAGUCCUUUCGUGGGGGACGAAAAGGUAGUUCUUAAUACGAGCUGCUGUUGACGUGAACCCAAGAAGAAGCACCGGCUAACUCCGUGCCAGCAGCCGCGGUAAUACGGGGGGUGCAAGCGUUAAUCGGAAUCACUGGGCGUAAAGGGUGCGUAGGCGGUACGUUAGGUCUGUCGUGAAAUCCCCGGGCUCAACCUGGGAAUGGCGGUAGAAACCGGCGAACUAGAGUAUGGGAGAGGGUGGUGGAAUUCCAGGUGUAGCGGUGAAAUGCGUAGAGAUCUGGAGGAACAUCAGUGGCGAAGGCGGCCACCUGCCCAAUACUGACGCUGAGGCACGAAAGCGUGGGGAGCAAACAGGAUUAGAUACCCUGGUAGUCCACGCCCUAAACGAUGAAUACUAGAUGUUUGGUACCUAGCGUACUGAGUGUCGUAGCUAACGCG